rnacentral:rRNA from 1 species
ACACAUGCAAGUCGAGGGGCAGCAUUUCAGUUUGCUUGCAAACUGGAGAUGGCGACCGGCGCACGGGUGAGUAACACGUAUCCAACCUGCCGAUAACUCGGGGAUAGCCUUUCGAAAGAAAGAUUAAUACCCGAUGGUAUAAUCAGACCGCAUGGUCUUGUUAUUAAAGAAUUUCGGUUAUCGAUGGGGAUGCGUUCCAUUAGGCAGUUGGUGAGGUAACGGCUCACCAAACCUUCGAUGGAUAGGGGUUCUGAGAGGAAGGUCCCCCACAUUGGAACUGAGACACGGUCCAAACUCCUACGGGAGGCAGCAGUGAGGAAUAUUGGUCAAUGGGCGCAGGCCUGAACCAGCCAAGUAGCGUGAAGGAUGACUGCCCUAUGGGUUGUAAACUUCUUUUAUAUGGGAAUAAAGUUUUCCACGUGUGGAAUUUUGUAUGUACCAUAUGAAUAAGGAUCGGCUAACUCCGUGCCAGCAGCCGCGGUAAUACGGAGGAUCCGAGCGUUAUCCGGAUUUAUUGGGUUUAAAGGGAGCGUAGGUGGACAGUUAAGUCAGUUGUGAAAGUUUGCGGCUCAACCGUAAAAUUGCAGUUGAUACUGGCUGUCUUGAGUACAGUAGAGGUGGGCGGAAUUCGUGGUGUAGCGGUGAAAUGCUUAGAUAUCACGAAGAACUCCGAUUGCGAAGGCAGCUCACUGGACUGCAACUGACACUGAUGCUCGAAAGUGUGGGUAUCAAACAGGAUUAGAUACCCUGGUAGUCCACACAGUAAACGAUGAAUACUCGCUGUUUGCGAUAUACAGUAAGCGGCCAAGCGAAAGCAUUAAGUAUUCCACCUGGGGAGUACGCCGGCAACGGUGAAACUCAAAGGAAUUGACGGGGGCCCGCACAAGCGGAGGAACAUGUGGUUUAAUUCGAUGAUACGCGAGGAACCUUACCCGGGCUUAAAUUGCAUUUGAAUAUAUUGGAAACAGUAUAGCCGUAAGGCAAAUGUGAAGGUGCUGCAUGGUUGUCGUCAGCUCGUGCCGUGAGGUGUCGGCUUAAGUGCCAUAACGAGCGCAACCCUUAUCUUUAGUUACUAACAGGUCAUGCUGAGGACUCUAGAGAGACUGCCGUCGUAAGAUGUGAGGAAGGUGGGGAUGACGUCAAAUCAGCACGGCCCUUACGUCCGGGGCUACACACGUGUUACAAUGGGGGGUACAGAAGGCAGCUACCUGGUGACAGGAUGCUAAUCCCAAAAGCCUCUCUCAGUUCGGAUCGAAGUCUGCAACCCGACUUCGUGAAGCUGGAUUCGCUAGUAAUCGCGCAUCAGCCAUGGCGCGGUGAAUACGUUCCCGGGCCUUGUACACACCGCCCGUCAAGCCAUGAAAGCCGGGGGUACCUGAAGUACGUAACCGCAAGGAGCGUCCUAGGGUAAAACUGGUAAUUGGGGCUAAG